CUCUUUAAUUUUGGUUUAUGUGCCCUGUUAUUUCUCUUUCUUCUUUUGCUUCUGCUUUUAAUUCAUGCUAAGUUGGUCUUUUAUGUAGUCUCAUAAGGCUUCUUAACCCAUUUCUGGAAUAAAGUGGAGGAUAAAUAAAUUACAAGUUGUUGUGAGGAUUAAGUGACAAUUGCCAAGUGUCUAGCACUUUAUGGAUGCUCCUUCUGGCUCUCCCCAAUGGGAUUCCAUUGUCGGCUUCCCUCUCUAGAUGGGAAGGGCCUGUGGAUGGCUGCACAGCUGUGGGGGUACCCUGUGAGGCCGGGGUGCAGGGGAGACAAUGAGCAAACAGUGGAAACGGAGUCUGAGGGGGCCAGGGCCUGAGCUGAAUAGAUGGUCACCACGUAGUCAGAUGGAAAAGGCAGAACCCAGGAGUGAUGUGAAGAGCCCAGUUUAACGGGAGCUGGCGACAUGGAGAGUCAAAGUGGGAUGUGUGGGGAAGGGGGACAGACUGCGGCGGUUCCUGUGCUGACGUGCUGGCAACUGUGGCAGCUUCAUCUGCGGUACGUGGAGUACUUAAAAGGGUGGGGGGCUCAAAGUAGGGGGGUCCGCUAGGGCCCCAUUUGGUAACUACUGGGCAUGGAUGAUCUGGGAGGUUUCUGUGUGCCCAGAAAGGAUGAGAAAAGGGUGUUCUGGGGGACCCAGGGCACCAACUAAGCCCAGAGGGGCAGCCUGUCUGCUGUAGGCCAGGGAAGGACUCUCUGAGCACAGAAUCCCAGGAGAGCAGCCUAAUUAAAGUUUAGAAAGUGCUUCUCAGUCUCACUGUUGGACAAACAAAAAGGUGUUAGAAUAGGCCUCUCGAGAAAGCACAACAAGGAUAGUUAGACUGUCACAGGCCUUUGAUCCUGAUGCCAUUCAGCAACAAGGCUCGGGUGCUUAGGACUCUGACAUACCUUGGCAGAGAAACCGAUUUCUGGAAGUUUGCACUUUGACUCAAGAAAUAAAGGAGUAUCUGAAAGGACAGAAAAGUCUUUCUUUGUCUGGGCGGAAGUUCAGUUUCCUUAAGCCUGGAAAAAAUGAAGUAUUAGAGGCAGCAUAAAUAGAGAAAUUGUAGACAAAAUUCCAGAAAAGUCAGGAUACGACUGAGCAUGGUGGCUCAUCCUAGAAAUGUUUUUGUUCUUUAA
rnacentral:lncRNA from 10 species